UACAGAGGUCUCAAGCGUUGUUCGGAUUCAUUGGGCGUAAAGGGUGCGUAGGUGGCGAGGCAAGUCGGAUGUGAAAUCCCGGGGCUCAACCCCGGAACUGCAUUCGAUACUGCCUUGCUAGAGUACUGGAGAGGAGAUUGGAAUUUACGGUGUAGCAGUGGAAUGCGUAGAUAUCGUAAGGAAGACCAGUGGCGAAGGCGAGUCUCUGGACAGUUACUGACGCUGAGGCACGAAGGCCAGGGGAGCAAACGGG
rnacentral:rRNA from 1 species